GACGAACGCUGGCGGCGUGCUUAACACAUGCAAGUCGAACGGAAAGGUCCUGCUUUUGUGGGGUGCUCGAGUGGCGAACGGGUGAGUAACACGUGAGUAACCUGCCCUUGACUUUGGGAUAACUUCAGGAAACUGGGGCUAAUACCGGAUAGGAGCUCCUGCUGCAUGGUGGGGGUUGGAAAGUUUCGGCGGUUGGGGAUGGACUCGCGGCUUAUCAGCUUGUUGGUGGGGUAGUGGCUUACCAAGGCUUUGACGGGUAGCCGGCCUGAGAGGGUGACCGGCCACAUUGGGACUGAGAUACGGCCCAGACUCCUACGGGAGGCGGCAGUGGGGAAUAUUGCACAAUGGGCUGAAGCCUGAUGCAGCAACGCCGCGUGCGGGAUGACGGCCUUCGGGUUGGAAACCGCUUUCGCCUGUGACGAAGCGUGAGUGACGGUAAUGGGUAAAGAAGCACCGGCUAACUACGUG
rnacentral:rRNA from 1 species